GAUGAACGCUAGCGGCAGGCUUAAUACAUGCAAGUCGAACGGUAACAGAUCUUCGGAUGCUGACGAGUGGCGCACGGGUGAGGAACACGUACACAAUCUACCUUAUACAGGAGGAUACGCCCCGGGAAACUGGGAUUAAUACUCCAUAGUCUUUAAUGAUCACAUGAGAAAUAAAGUAAAGCUCCGGCGGUAUAAGAUGAGUGUGCGUCCCAUUAGAUAGUUGGUGAGGUAACGGCUCACCAAGUCUGCGAUGGGUAGCUGGCGUGAGAGCGCGACCAGCCACACUGGCACUGAGACACGGGCCAGACUCCUACGGGAGGCAGCAGUAGGGAAUAUUGGUCAAUGGACGAAGGUCUGAACCAGCCAUGCCGCGUGGAGGAUGACUGCCCCUNAGGGUUGUAAACUCCUUUUAUAUAGGAAGAAACCUUUGGAUUUACUCCGAAGCUGACGGUACUAUAUGAAUAAGCACCGGCUAACUCCGUG
rnacentral:rRNA from 1 species